rnacentral:rRNA from 1 species
UGGGGAAUUUUGGACAAUGGGCGAAAGCCUGAUCCAGCCAUGCCGCGUGCGGGAAGAAGGCCUUCGGGUUGUAAACCGCUUUAGUCCGGGAAAAAGGGCUGACGUGCUAAUACCGCGUUGGUUUGAUGGUACUGGAAGAAUAAGCACCGGCUAACUACGUGCCAGCAGCCGCGGUAAUACGUAGGGUGCGGGCGUUAAUCGGAAUUACUGGGCGUAAAGCGUGCGCAGGCGGUCUUGUAAGACAGUCGUGAAAUCCCCGGGCUCAACCUGGGACCUGCAUUUGUGACUGCAUAGCUAGAGUACGGCAGAGGGGGAUGGAAUUCCGCGUGUAGCAGUGAAAUGCGUAGAUAUGCGGAGGAACACCGAUGGCGGAGGCAGCCCCCUGGGAUAACACUGACGCUCAUGCACGAAAGCGUGGGGAGCAAACA